AGGACGAACGCUGGCGGCGUGCUUAACACAUGCAAGUCGAGCGGUGAUCCUCCUUCGGGAGGUGAUCAGCGGCGAACGGGUGAGUAACACGUGGGCAACCUGCCCCUCACACUGGGAUAACCUCGGGAAACCGGGGCUAAUACCGGAUACGACCUCGAGCGGCAUCUCUUGAGGUGGAAAGCUCCGACGGUGAGGGAUGGGCCCGCGGCCUAUCAGCUUGUUGGUGGGGUAAUGGCCUACCAAGGCGACGACGGGUAGCC
rnacentral:rRNA from 1 species